GGUGGACGGUCCACUCGCCAACCGGGUCAGGUCCGGAAGGAAGCAGCCCUAACGAGCCCGGAACGGGUCAUUGUU
rnacentral:SRP_RNA from 1 species